AACUACACUAUCGAUAAAUGGAUUCACGUGCGAGAUGAUGUGGCUGUUUCACCUAGGACGAGGACAUGGCAUUCUAUUACCAGCCAUCGCGCGAAAUUAAUGAGAUGCCACGUCCUCAUUCUAGAUGGAACAACCACGUCAUCUCACGGGUGAAUCUAUUCAUCGAUAGUGUAGUU
rnacentral:pre_miRNA from 17 species